GGAAUUUUGGACAAUGGGGGAAACCCUGAUCCAGCGACGCCGCGUGGAGGACGAAGGUCUUCGGAUUGUAAACUCCUUUUGUUUGGGACUAAGAAACCUGUAGAAAUACGGGGAGUGAAUGUACCAGAUGAAUAAGCCACGGCUAACUUCGUGCCAGCAGCCGCGGUAAUACGAAGGUGGCAAGCGUUACUCGGAAUUACUAGGCGUAAAGGGCAGGUAGGUGGUUCGGUAAGUCUGUUGUGGAAGCUCCCGGCUUAACUGGGAGAGGCCAACGGAAACUACCGGACUUGAGUGUAGGAGAGGGUACUGGAAUUCCCGGUGUAGCGGUGAAAUGCGCAGAGAUCGGGAGGAACACCAAUGGCGAAAGCAGGUACCUGGACUAUUACUGACACUAAGCUGCGAAAGCUAGGGGAGCAAAC
rnacentral:rRNA from 1 species